rnacentral:rRNA from 1 species
CCAGACUCCUACGGGAGGCAGCAGUGGGGGAUAUUGCACAAUGGGGGGAACCCUGAUGCAGCGACGCCGCGUGGGUGAAGGAGUAUUUCGGUAUGUAAAGCCCUAUCGGCAGGGAAGAAGCAAGACGGUACCUGACUAAGAAGCCCCGGCUAACUACGUGCCAGCAGCCGCGGUAAUACGUAGGGGGCGAGCGUUAUCCGGAUUCACUGGGUGUAAAGGGAGCGUAGACGGCCAAGCAAGCCAGGGGUGAAAGCCCGGGGCCCAACCCCGGGACUGCCCUUGGAACUGCUUGGCUGGAGUGCGGGAGGGGCAGGCGGAAUUCCUGGUGUAGCGGUGAAAUGCGUAGAUAUUAGGAGGAACACCAGUGGCGAAGGCGGCCUGCUGGACGAUGACUGACGUUGAGGCUCGAAAGCGUGGGGAGCAAACAGGAUUAGAUACCCUCGUA